CGCAUACAGCUAUUUAACCGCAUGGGGAGAUAGUGAAAGGGGGGACUUGAUAUAGGAGGAGUCUGCGGCACAUUAGCUAGUAGGUGAGGUAAGAGCUCACCUAGGCGACGAUGUGUAGCCGGUCUGAGAGGAUGAACGGCCACAAUGGAACUGAGACACGGUCCAUACUCCUACGGGAGGCAGCAGUGGGGAAUAUUGCACAAUGGGGGAAACCCUGAUGCAGCAACGCCGCGUGAGUGAAGAAGGUUUUCGGAUUGUAAAGCUCUGUUAGCAGGGAAGAGGAAGGACGGUACCUGCAGAGGAAGCCACGGCUAACUACGUGCCAGCAGCCGCGGUAAUACGUAGGUGGCAAGCGUUGUUCGGAAUAACUGGGCGUAAAGGAUGCGUAGGCGGUUGAGUAAGUUAUGUGUUAAAUAUAUAGGCUUAACCUGUAGAAAGCACAUAAAACUGUUUAACUAGAGUGCAGGAGAGGUAAGUGGAAUUCCUAGUGUAGCGGUGAAAUGCGUAGAGAUUAGGAAGAACACCAGUGGCGAAGGCGACUUACUGGACUGUAACUGACGCUGAGGCAUGAGAGCAUGGGGAGCAAACAGGAUUAGAUACCCUGGUAGUCCAUGCUGUAAACGAUGGGUACUAGGUGUGGGUUGUGAAUAACAAUCCGUGCCGUCGCAAACGCAAUAA
rnacentral:rRNA from 1 species